rnacentral:rRNA from 1 species
GACGUAGGAGGCGAGCGUUGUCCGGAUUCAUUGGGCGUAAAGGGCUCGUAGGCGGUCUGUCACGUCGGGAGUGAAAACACGGGGCUUAACCCCGUGCCUGCUUCCGAUACGGGCAGACUAGAGGUAUGCAGGGGAGAACGGAAUUCCUGGUGUAGCGGUGAAAUGCGCAGAUAUCAGGAGGAACACCGGUGGCGAAGGCGGUUCUCUGGGCAUUACCUGACGCUGAGGAGCGAAAGUGUGGGGAGCGAACAGG